rnacentral:lncRNA from 1 species
UGGGACCUUCGUAUCUUUGCUGUUUGGAACACUGCAGCCCGAGUCCAUCUUAACAAUCAUAACAAAGACUGGCUACAGGGCCUGAAAGGAGAUUUGAAAGAAGCCACAGAGUGGAAGCUGAAGAACGUCAGCAGCCACCCUGUCCUAAAUCCCAUGCAUGCUCACAUGCCAGGUUUCAGUAAACUGGAACGCCUCCCAUUUGACAAACAACACGUCUCCAAGCACCCUAGAAAUUCAC